GAUGAACGCUAGCGGCAGGCCUAAUACAUGCAAGUCGAACGGUGUCUUCGGACAUAGUGGCGCACGGGUGCGUAACACGUAUGCAACCUAUCUUACAUUGGGGGAUAGCCUUUCGAAAGGGAGAUUAAUACCGCAUAAGACAGUAGCUGGGCAUCCAGCAGCUGUUAAAGAUUUAUCGAUGUAAGCUGGGCAUGCGUCCAAUUAGCUAGUUGGUGAGGUAACGGCUCACCAAGGCAAUGAUUGGUAGGGGAACUGAGAGGUCAAUCCCCCACACUGGCACUGAGUUACGGGCCAGACUCCUACGGGAGGCAGCAGUAGGGAAUAUUGGGCAAUGGACGCAAGUCUGACCCAGCCAUGCCGCGUGCAGGAUGAAGGCGUUAUGCGUUGUAAACUGCUUUUAUACAGGAAGAAACGACUCUUGCGAGAGGCAUUGACGGUACUGUAUGAAUAAGCACCGGCUAACUCCGUGCCAGCAGCCGCCGUAACAC
rnacentral:rRNA from 1 species